rnacentral:rRNA from 1 species
CCUACGGGCGGCAGCAGUGAGGAAUAUUGGUCAAUGGACGAGAGUCUGAACCAGCCAAGUAGCGUGAAGGAUGACUGCCCUAUGGGUUGUAAACUUCUUUUAUAUGGGAAUAAAAUGUUCCACGUGUGGGAUUUUGUAUGUACCAUAUGAACAAGGAUCGGCUAACUCCGUGCCAGCAGCCGCGGUAAUACGGAGGAUCCGAGCGUUAUCCGGAUUUAUUGGGUUUAAAGGGAGCGUAGGUGGAUUGUUAAGUCAGUUGUGAAAGUUUGCGGCUCAACCGUAAAAGUGCAGUUGAAACUGGCAGUCUUGAGUACAGUAGAGGUGGGCGGAAUUCGUGGUGUAGCGGUGAAAUGCUUAGAUAUCACGAAGAACUCCGAUUGCGAAGGCAGCUCGCUGGACUGCAACUGACACUGAGGCUCGAAAGUGUGGGUAUCAAACAGGAUUAGAUACCCGAGUAGUC